UACGAAGGGUGCUAGCGUUGUUCGGAAUCACUGGGCGUAAAGCGUGCGCAGGCGGCUAUACAAGUCAGGGGUGAAAGCCUGGAGCUUAACUCCAGAAUUGCCUUUGAAACUGUAUAGCUGGAGUCCCGGAAGGGUUGGCGGAAUUCCUAAUGUAGCGGUGAAAUGCGUAGAUAUUAGGAGGAACACCAGUGGCGAAGGCGGCCAACUGGACGGGCACUGACGCUCAUGCACGAAAGCGUGGGGAUCAAACAGG
rnacentral:rRNA from 1 species